rnacentral:lncRNA from 1 species
GGGUCCGACUGCUGGAGCCCGUGUGUCGUAGGAGUUCGUCGGGAAUCUAUCCACUACAGAAGUUCGGUCGGAGUCUGGUUCCUGUAGAAGUUCGGAUGGGGAUCAUUUGUUGAAGAAGCUCGACCGAAGCCUGCCUGCAAUAGAAGUCCGAAAGAAAUUCAUUCACAAUAGAAGCUCGGGUGGAGGCUUACAGUAGAAAUCCGACAUGGACCGCUCGUAGUAGAAAUUUGAAGUAGACCGCUUGUAGUAGUAGCUCGGAGUAGAUCGAUUGUAGUAGAAGCUCGGAGUAGAUCGCUUGUAAUAGAAGCUCAGAGUAGAUCGCUUGUGGUGGGGGCUCGGAGUCUGGCCCUUGUAAGAGUUCGGAUGAG